GCUGCUCCUGUCUAUCAGCAUGUGUCCCUGCAUUCUUUGUACCCUUAGGGAUGGUUUAUCUUUUCAGCAGUGUGACAGAAUGCCUUCUGAGACUGGCCUUGGCAGAACUCUGUAGCCAAUAUACUGACAAAGAGAAGAUAGCAUGGAAAGUGAAGCCGUUCACAACUUACAUGGAAUCUAUGGAUCUACAGCAGAAUCACUUCCUAUAUCAUCUGCCAAUAUUUUCACUUUUGGGAAAAUAUAAUUAUCAUACCUCCAAGCACACACAGGGCUGAUCUUUGGAACAUUUCUUCACUGUCAGAAGAACAGGCUGAAAACAGGGAGAAGAACUAACUGCUACUGCCAGCAUUCCUGAUGCUUUGUCUACUGAAAUUUCCUAGGACUGGUGGAGCUGCACUGGUAUCACAGAAGGCAGUUUUUGUUGAGAGAGGAAAAAAUGCACCACAGAAGAGCGUGUUGAUUUCCUUGUAUCAUCGACCCCUCCUGAAAGGGCAAAUGCUUCAAAUUUCUCAGUUAUCUAUGCU
ensembl:lncRNA